GAGGGUGUACCUCAGUGAUAGAGCAUGUGCUUAGCAUGCACGAGGUCCUGGGUUCAAUCCCCAGCACCCCCA
rnacentral:tRNA from 1 species